AGCCACAGCCAUGUCACCCUGCAGCCCAAGACCGGUUACUUACUGAAGCUAAGCAGGGCUGAGCCUGGUCAGUACCUGGAUGGGAGUCCACUAGAGAACACUAGGUUGCUGUUGGAA
rfam:Danio rerio chromosome 24, GRCz11 reference primary assembly.